GUGUCAGCCGCCGCGGUAAAACGUAGGUGGCGAGCGUUAUCCGGAUUCACUGGGCGUAAAGGGCACGCAGGCGGCUCGGCAGGUAGGGCAUGAAAUCUCCCGGCUUAACUGGGAGGGGCUGUCCUAAACCGCUGGGCUUGAGGGCGGGAGAGGGAAGUGGAAUUGCCGGUGUAGUGGUGAAAUGCGUAGAGAUCGGCAGGAACACCAGUGGCGAAGGCGACUUCCUGGUCCGCCCCUGACGCUCAUGUGCGAAAGCUAGGGUAGCGAACGGGAUUAGAUACCCUUGUAGUCC
rnacentral:rRNA from 1 species